AACGAACGCUGGCGGCAGGCUUAACACAUGCAAGUCGAGCGCCCAGCAAUGGGAGCGGCGCACGGGUGAGUAACACGUGGGAACGUGCCCUAUGGUUCGGAAUAAACGCAGGGAAACUUGCGCUAAUACCGGAUAAGCCCUUACGGGGAAAGGAUUUAUCGCCAUUGGAGCGGCCCGCGUUGGAUUAGCUAGUUGGUGGGGUAAAAGGACCUACCAAGGCAACGAUCCAUAGCUGGUCUGAGAGGACGACCA
rnacentral:rRNA from 1 species